rnacentral:rRNA from 1 species
UACGGAGGGGGCUAGCGUUGUUCGGAAUUACUGGGCGUAAAGAGCUCGUAGGUGGUUUGUCGCGUUGUCCGUGAAAUCCCUGGGCUCAACCCAGGAAGUGCAUUCGAAACUGGCGAGCUUGAAUAUGGAAGAGGGUCGCGGAAUUCCCGGUGUAGAGGUGAAAUUCGUAGAUAUCGGGAGGAACACCAGUGGCGAAGGCGGCGACCUGGGCCAAUAUUGACGCUGAGGUGCGAAAGCGUGGGGAGCAAACAGG